AGUGAACGCUGGCGGCAGGCCUAACACAUGCAAGUCGAACGGCAGCACAGGAAGAGCUCGCUCUUACUGGUGGCGAGGGGCGGACGGGUGACGCAUGCAUCGCCUACCUCUUUUACGGGGGUGAUAACGUGGGAAAACUUCUGAUAAUACCGCAUAUUUCGUACGGGUUAGAGCAGAAGAUCUACGGACCUUUCGUGAUUGUAAGAGCCGAUUCCGGGCUGGAUAAGUUAGUUGGUAAGGUAACAGCUUACCAAGGCUCCGAUGCAUAGCCGAGCUGAGAGGGUGAUCAGCCACACUGGAACUGAGACACGGUCCAGACUCCUACGGGAGGCAGCAGUAGGGAAUCUUCCGCAAUGGGCGAAAGCCUGAUACAGCAAUACCGCGUGAGUGAUGAAGGACUUCGGGUCGUAAAGCCCUGUUGUUAGGAAAGAACAUAAGCAGAUUUAACCGCGGACAUACUGACGGUACCUAAAGAAUAAGCCCCGGCUAACUUCGUG
rnacentral:rRNA from 1 species